rnacentral:lncRNA from 1 species
GAUUCCUCUGUCUCCUGCGCGAGAUACUUAUCAACCUGGAGCUCUGCCAUUAAAGCUACCUCAUGCUUUUGCAUCAAGGAAGUCUCUCAUGUUUCUUUGGGUAACCCCGCGACCCGAGACUUGAGUUGGGGGCUCCUUCUUGGGGUCCUACAAGCCUAGCUAAGACUCCUAGCAAUAGGUAGGACGAAGUAUGGAGCCAGAACCUGGCCAUCUCCUAUAACUAGGCAAGACUUCCAGUGGAGGGAUUAGAACACCAAAUGAGCCACAAAACCUUUGACCUACAUUUGUCCUGCCUACAAGAUGUGUUAGGUAAAAGUGGCUCAAAAACUGUGGGAGUGGCCAACCAAUGAUUAAUCAAGUUUAAUUCCCAUGCCAAGAGAGGAAGCCCACCCAUGACACUGCCUUGAGGUCCAGGACCCAGAAGUUGAAUAGCCCAGAUACCUAGGAUAGAAUCAAAUAUGACAAGGGGGAAAUAAAAGAGAAAGAAUUCCUAAUGAUAUUCUCCUUUACUCAUAGAUUGGUAUCUAACCCAAUUGUCAUCAACGAGACUCCAUCCAGCAACUGAUGGAAUCAGAUGCAGAGAUGCACAGCCAAACAUUAGGCAGAGCUCAGGGAAUCCCUUCGAUAAAGUAGAGGAAGAAUUAUAGGAGACAGAGGGAUCAAGGACAACCCCUCCAAAACCCCAUAAAAUCAACUAACCAGGGGCUAGAUAGAAUAUCUAAUAAAUAAAAUAACUAAUCUGUGGCAAACGACCAGAUAACAGCUCUGCCCUAAUAUCCCAUCGAUCCUUUUGUCUACACAGUUCAAACUCUCCAGCCUCCUGAGUCAUUAAUCUUGAAUGAUUUACAACAGCAUCUGUAACAUAUUUCACACAUUCCUUUCAAUGAGCCAUUUCCAAAUUCUCUUCUCUUCCCCAACACUGGUUCCUUACUGUUCCAUUCAUCCUUUUUUGAUGAUUAAUUGAAGCCUUCCAUUUUUAGUAAUUUAAAUAACUUCACUGUUUAUGCCUACUUUAAAGAACCCUUUAAAUGUAUUAAUGAAAGCAAGUGUACAAAUAUGUGCUUUUGUAAGAAGCAUAACCUAUCUCCCACUGCCUGCAGGAUAGUAGCAGGAAGAAGGCAAUAACAUGGGCUACUUGGCACAGUGCUUCAGGGAUAAUAGCUAGAUGUCUACACAUCUGCUUCUUUUCACUGACUGCAGUAGCUACUGCUGUUUUCUGACCCUUUUUGGGAUCUCCCAGCACAGCUCAGUCUUCAGAUGUAAUCAGAGAUGAGUUGUGCAGAGCAAUCAAUUUGUCUUCAAGUUCAAACUUGAAAAAUGAGCAUUCCCCAACCUCUCAUUUUUCUUUAACACCAAAAGUGUCACCUUAGCAAAUCACAUAAAGAAUAAAGGGAAAAUGGGAAUGCUCUUGUGUCAGCAGUGUUCACUAAUCCAGGUCAUUCUCCAAAGUUGCAAUAGAGUUGCUCAUUGAAAAUAACCCUACACAGCAAAGAUAAUUUUUAUCCUUUUCUAUCAUAACCUGAAUUUGACCUUCAAAAUUGUUGCAUAAUGUAUAAUGUCAACUAGAUCUCCUAAAAGUUUCAGAACUAUUGUUUUGAAAGAAACUCCAAUGUAAACUAGUAAGUGUGUAAUGAUGUUCACAAAAUGCACACAUAUGAAUAGAUUGAGGUAUACCUCUAAAACAUCUCAAGUCCUUCUAUGAGGAUUUAAUUCUCAAUAAUUCAGUAACUUACCUACCAUGCCACACUUUAUCUAUGAUUCUGUUCCCCUGUACCCUACAGAGUCUGAGGCUGUGAUUCCAGUUUCACAGGCACUGAACUGAAAAAUAUAGAAAGGGAAUACAGGAAGUACCUUGCUUUUCUUACACCAAUCCAUCUGUAAGUUAUUGAAUAGAUAACUGGGAAAUAGUUGAUGUCAAAUAAAGCUUUAUUUGAUUAGCUCAUGAGGUAUGUACAUUUUUUUCCUUUCCUCAUGAGCACUAUAUUUGAUUCCAUUUGAACUUGAUUGAUUUGAUGUGAUCCACAAAACUUUUCCUAGAAUAUACAUUUCCAAACAUAGGAGAAAUGUGAACAGGUUGAGACAAAGUCCACACCCAUAGCCUCCACCCUUCUGCUUAGCUCGAAAAAGGUGAAAGCGUUGACACCUGAUACCAACCCUUGUCGGGAAUCAGGAAGUUAUAGAUGAGAUCACUAUUAUUCACAAUUCCUUAUUAACAAGUGCCUUCAAACUAUAUCAUUACCAUUAAGUCUACAACUGGAACAUAGCCUGUUGGACAUGCCAAGAAACAUCCAUAGGAGAAAGCAACUCCACGUGUACUCCUGAUAUGCUCAUGACAUAAAGGGAACACUCAACUUCCACAAUCUAAUAUGAAAAUUUGUAGUUAUUUAUCUACAUCUGGAACACAAAUGUAGGAACCUCAGUUUUCUGAAUGCAUACUUCCAAAUUUCUGCUGUCCAUGACAAUGAAAAUGCUGAUUUUCUUUCUGGUAUAGUGAGUAUAUGGAGUUAUCAAAGGAAAGGUAUAUUACAGGCUGGAUCUUCAGGAUCAAAAAACUUAUCUUCAGGUACAAAGUCCACCAAGGGGCAACUGAUAUUAAAUGAACACCUUACUGCUGAUCACCAAAUCAGUGUUUUGAAGUCCUUUAAAUAAAUGUUGCAUGUAAACAUUACAGAUGUUCAUUUGAAUUUAGCUCACCUCCACCUAAACUGUUUUGCCUCUGGUGAACAUUUUUAGUCACCUAAGCAUCACAACAUGCUUCUUAGAUCUUUUGUCUUAGCUUGUACCCUACAAUUUGAUAUUUUUAAAGUAUAUGUAUUUGCUUCUAUUUUACAUGCAAUGAAUACUUUCUCUGUAUCUAUACAAAUGCACUAUAUGUGGGCAGUGCCUGCCUGUGAAGGCUAGAAGAGUAUGUCAGACCCUCUGGAACUGGAAUUACUGGUAGUUAUCUGUCAGCUCCCUGGCAUGGAUACCUGGAUAUGAACCCUGGUCCUUUCCAAGAAGAGCAAAUGCUUUUCACCACAGAGGCAUCUCUCCAGUCUCAAGAUAAACAUAUGAUACAGUUGUAAAAAUCCAAGUAACAGUUAGUAUUGUUCAAUUGUACAGUUUGCUAUAACUUCUGGGUGGUUUGGUAUUUAAUAAAUAGGAGUGAGUGGCAGGGUUUCAAAUAAACCAGAAGUAGAUUGAUUUUCAGGUGGAAUUGUAACUGUAUUGGGCCCACACCUCUGGGGACUACGGACUAUUUCAGUCUUGAAUGUUAAUUGAGAGGGCAAAAAUAAAACAAAGCCAAAAGAAUUGCAACCUCCACCUACC